AGAAAAGCACCCAAGAAGCACCAUGGCGGCCACGUCUUGUUCUUCUUGCCAGAUAACUGAGUAACAUUUUCAGAAUGUCCACUGCUGCCGAGGUGCCAGCGACCUAAUUCACAGAUAUCUUGCUCUCGCCCACGACU